GAACCCCUCACAGGCUCGGAGGGCUGUGGAAUGCUAAUGGUGGUCUGUCCCCUGAAGCCCCUGGCUACUGUAAGGAGGUGGGAGAGCAAGAAUGGUGAGUCUGGUACCGACCUGUAGGCAGUGCCAAGUGUCUUGGGAUCAUGCAGUUAAAUUAUUUACCCCAAAGACUGCUGAGUCAUGGGUUUCCCCCAGACAUGUGUUUCUUGAGCGGCUAACCUGGGAGUUGCACAGUAAUCAGGUUCACAAAUCAUUAUAGCUAUGAGGGGCUCCUGGUGCAGCCACACCCCCAGUAGGGAGUGUGGGGACCAGCACUUGGCUGUGCAGGGCUUGUGGGUAUUGGGGACCCAGUGGAGGCAGAGAUUGUGCACUCAGUACAGUCCACUGUCUGGGUUAGCUGCCCCCUACCCAGGAGAGCACUGGGUGAAGGGCUGGAGCAGGUUAGGCUGUAAUGGCCAGCUCAGCCUGCGGGCCCCAUGCUCCCAGUCUCAGUCCCAUGUCCUCCUAUGUCUGUGUGUGGAAAGUGGGCACACAGCUGCUGGUGUGUGUUCACACAUGUGUGGUUUGUAUGCUUUGUGGGCAUAUGCGUGUGGGAUGUGUAUAGCACAGGGCUUCCUGGCACCCAGACGCCACCACCAUCCUAGGUACCCUUCCUGCUGGUGUGCAGUGCCUCCAACUGCCUGGGUCCCAGCCACAACUGUGGCUGGCCAGGCUCUCACCUCUCCCCUCCACCCUAUAGCACCUUCCUAGGGCUGGCAUGAGGAUAAGUGACCUCCUGAGUUAAACCAGAGGCCCCCCAGGAGAAACUAAGAGUGAGCUCCUACUGCUAGAACCACUGUGCAGAGCUUCAGGCCCUUGUCUUUAUACGGAUACUGGUGUCAACAAGACAAAGCCUUUUGCAGCCUGCUGGAAAGCCUUGUCUGGUUCCUGCAGCCAUGGGCCUAGCCAGGGAAGACCUCACUGCAGUUUGCUACACCGCCAGUAUCCCAGCCUAGCUCCCAAGGAGGUGAUGGAAGUCCACCAUGGGAACUCCCACGGUCUCCCUGAAGAGGCAGUGGCUGGGUGCACUGAUAGGGUGCCUGGUGCAGGACAGGGUGGCAGGUGAGGAAAUAACAAUAGAGAUCAUGCCUGUAGGACCCUGGGGGUUGGCCCACUCUUCUUGACACAUCCCUCUGCUUCAGUUACUACCCUGCGCUCUGAGGCCUAGGCUGAGAUGCACCAGCUGUCCAGGGUCGUCUGGGGGCCCUGCUGGUAGUAGAGGGCCGCCCACUGGGCAUCGCAGGAGCUGCUGCACUGUUCUUCACUGGCUGCCGGAGGGGGAAGGCGUGGGGGCAGCUUGCCCUUCUGUUGGGCCUCCUGUCAAUCCUGGCCCCAGUUCCUUAAUUUUGUUCUUAAAUCAACCAUUUUAAGUAGCACGUUUGUUUGGAAAGGAAACGCGGUAUCGGUACCCCGCCAUGGCAAGAGGCCAGGACGGCAGGACUCUGGGCCCAGACCUGGCUUUCUUCACAGUGAUCCGCCCGUGUGCGGCCUCCCAGGGAGAAGACUGAGGCCCGGACCCCAAUGCCCGGCCGUGCUCCGCACGUUCCCGGCGCCCCCACGGUCCUCCGCAUGCCCCUGGGACCGCGCGGUCCGUUCUGCUCUGGUCACCGGCCUGCGUGGGCCCCAUGCACACGCGCGCUUUCCCGUCGCUGAGCACGCCCGGCCCGGCCAC